ensembl:ncRNA C09H10.18 ncRNA
CAUCUAUCCUAACUGAGCCAAUCGUAAAAGAACAGAAUGAAUCAAAGAAUGGAUUUUCUCUUUUCUAUCUGUUUAUAGCAACGGAAGCUUCAAAGAGAGUAGAAAGAGCACACAGUUGUUUAG